rnacentral:rRNA from 1 species
CACUCCUUCCCAUCCCGAACAGGACAGUGAAACGACUUUGCGCCGAUGAUAGUGCGGAUUCCCGUGUGAAAGUAGGUCAUCGUCAGGC